rnacentral:rRNA from 1 species
GAUGAACGCUGGCGGCGUGCCUAAUACAUGCAAGUCGAGCGAACAGACGAGGAGCUUGCUCCUUUGAUGUUAGCGGCGGACGGGUGAGUAACACGUAGGUAACCUACCUAUAAGACUGGGAUAACUUCGGGAAACCGGAGCUAAUACCGGAUAAUAUUUCGAACCGCAUGGUUCGAUAGUGAAAGAUGGCUUUGCUAUCACUUAUAGAUGGACCUGCGCCGUAUUAGCUAGUUGGUAAGGUAACGGCUUACCAAGGCAACGAUACGUAGCCGACCUGAGAGGGUGAUCGGCCACACUGAAACUGAGACACGGUCCAGACUCCUACGGGAGGCAGCAGUAGGGAAUCUUCCGCAAUGGGCGAAAGCCUGACGGAGCAACGCCGCGUGAGUGAUGAAGGUCUUCGGAUCGUAAAACUCUGUUAUUAGGGAAGAACAAACGUGUAAGUAACUGUGCACGUCUUGACGGUACCUAAUCAGAAAGCCACGGCUAACUACGUG